CCUAUUUUUUUAGCGCAAGUCCACAUAGUAGUACCGUUUCCGGUUUUUUUCUUCUUCUUCAAUUUCAUUUCGCGGCAAAAUUGAGAAGAAGCGAAGCAAAACAUUCUGUUAACUUAGCGUUGAAAUCGAACAAACUAACGUUCUUUUGUUUGAUGUGAUAUCAGUGUAAUAAUGAGGUGCAUUGUACCCGGUUGUUAUAAUGCCCCCGUUAAACUUGCCUUGAAAGCACAUUUUCAUAGUUUUCCACGCGAUGCAACUUUGUGCCAGACAUGGAUGGAUGUAAUCAGACACCCCAACAUAACAGCCGAAGAAGUUCGCGAACGAGGACUAAUGCAGCGACCACUUGAAGCCACCGACUACCAAGGCGACCGUCUGAAGCCUGGAGCUGUACCCACCGUUUUCCCAUCAUUGGUCGAACCGCUCGAGGUACGCCCACAUCAGAAGUCAAUGAUAUGCAUCCUCGAACUCCCUGGGUCUACUUCCUGAAUUUGUAAAGCCGGAGAGAGAGAGGCUGCUAACAGAAACGCGGACGGAAAGUCUCCAUAAUGAGACCACCUUUACACAGGACGUUGCGUAAAGCUUCAUUACAAGAGCCAUACGACCUGGGCCUCCUGUACCCAUGACAAGCAACAAGAGCCAUACGACCCCCCCCCCCCCCCGCCCCCCGCUCACACCUGGACUGGGGUGGGGUUUGAUUAACUUCACUGUGGUCCUGAAUGAUGAAGGGAAAAAAAGACCUACGCAAUAGCAAAAAAAAAAAAAAACCCUUAUUUGAUUGGGCGGAAUCUUCUGGUAAUGUGAUAUGCCGUAAUGCUCUGUUCUGCCCUGGGAGGGUGUGUUCCGCGAUGAGUUUCAGAGGAAUUGUCAUCGUAAAUUACAAUUAUUUUCAUCCAGAACGUUCCAGAGGCCCACUUAGAGUCCAUCUGCCUCGUUCAGAGAUUGCCUCCUGACAUUUCCCCACCUUCUGCCAAAUUUCAUUAUGUAAGGACGGAAAGCGGUGAUGUGGUCCGGGAGCAGACGUGUGGAACCACCCCUUCCUUCAGAGCAGCCUUUAACAGCACAUAUCCCUGCAGGUUCCUGGAGUGCACGGUAGUGAAGCCCUUUUCCUCUUUCUCUCCUCUACAUGUUCAUCCUGUCAUCCGUACUGGUUGUCUUUCUCUUCUUGCUCUGAAUGACUGAACAGUUUUUCUUUAGAAGGUUGAUAAUUUGCCCAAGUUCACUAGCACACUCUCUUCUAAUAUUGUUUCCCACAAAACCCUUCCAAGAACCACUGUUUGUACUGCUGCUGAUCCAGCUGCUGAUCUUUCUCUCUGCAUGAUGAGCCUGCUCUCUGUGUGCUGAUCUUGCUCUCUGCAUGAUGAGCCUGCUCUGUGUGUGCUGCCCCUGCUCUGUGUGUGCUGCUGCUGCUCUGUGUGUGCUGCUCCUGCUCUGUGUGUGCUGCUCCUGCUCUGUGUGUGCUGCUCCUGCUCUGUGUGUGUGCUGCUCCUGCUCUGUGUGUGUGCUGCUCCUGCUUUGUGUGUGUGCUGCUCCUGCUCUCUGUGUAUGUGGAGCCUACUCUCUGUGUGUGUGCUGCUCCUGCUCUGUGUGUGUGUGGAUGUGUAAUUAAGUAAAGUCCUGAGUGUGUGCAUGGCCUCGGCCUUAUUGUGAUGAAGUGGUUUCAUGAGCGGCAAAUGACCAGUGACCAGGUCAUGCAUUAUAAUAUUACCCAUCAGAAGAAGAGUGUUUCACAUGCAGUGUUUCUGCAUA